UUUUUUUUUGGUGCGGCGCAUUUUUCUGCGGUGUUGUAAGAAACUGAAGCUACUUGUUGACAGUUGCACAUGGGCCGAUUGAUGCUAGCUGACGCGCGGACAGAAAUUUCGCUUCGGUAUGUGACAUAUAGCAAACUUACGCUAAAUGGGGAGUCCUGGCGAAGAUGACAGGGGAGCAGAUGUAUGCCACGGCUACCGCCUCUGCUCGGACCACGUCACAGAAAGGGUCCUCACCGACUUGGCCAAAACAAGACUGUCGGGGUCGGCUGUGCCGACUCUUGGAGUGGAAGCGCAAUCCCUGAUCGAUGAAGCUGUCUUUACAGGUUCUACACCACCGCAUCGAGGCCAAAAGCUGGAAAUAUACUCACCAGAGACUGCAGGCGUCAUUAACCGGCUGAGGAAUGAUACGCAAAGG